rnacentral:rRNA from 1 species
AACGAACGCUGGCGGCGUGCCUAACACAUGCAAGUCGAACGUGAUUGGGGAGCUUGCUCCUCAUGAAAGUGGCGCACGGGUGAGUAACGCGUAGAUAAUCUACCUGAUGAUUCGGGAUAACACUUCGAAAGGGGUGCUAAUACCGCAUGAGACCACGGCCUUGCGGGGCUGUGGGAAAAGAUGGGGAUCUUCGGACCUGUCACCUGGAGAUGAGCCGGCGUACCAUUAGGUAGUUGGUGGGGUAAGAGCUCACCAAGCCGAAGAUGGUUAGCUGGUCUGAGAGGAUGAUCAGCCACACUGGAACUGAGACACGGUCCAGACUCCUACGGGAGGCAGCAGUGGGGAAUAUUGCGCAAUGGGGGCAACCCUGACGCAGCAACGUCGCGUGUGUGAUGAAGGCCUUCGGGUCGUAAAGCACUGUGAGGUGGAACGAGCCGCCGAGGGUGAAUAUCCUUCGGCCCGACGGUACCACCAGAGGAAGCACCGGCUAACCCUGUGCCAGCAGCCGCGGUAACAC